CCUCCGCCGGAUGGGCCAGGGUUCCUCGGCACUGAAAAUCAGCCGAGGGUGAGUCGGUCCUAAGCCGUGGGGUAAUGCCCUAACGGCGAAAGGGAAACAGGUUAAUAUUCCUGUACCGUCCCGGUAGGUGCGGCAACGCAAGCCGGACAUCCGACGCCUCGGGGUAGGCCGACAGGGGCCGUCGCCCCUGCUAAGCGGGAUAGGCCUCUGGAGAGCCGUAAUGGCGAGAAGGAGGCCAAACCGCGAAUGGCCCCCGUAAGGGGGUUCGGCUGAACCCUGGGGCCCGUGAAAAGGGUGUCCGGAGCGAUCCGGGACGACCGUACCGAGAACUGAAAAAGGUCCCCUGGCUGAAGAGGCCAAGGCGAUCGGGUAACUCCGGGCAAGGGAAUUCGGCAAACUGGCCCCGUAUCUUCGGUAGAAGGGGUGCCUGCGGUUGUCGGACCGCCGGCGACCGCAGGUGGCACUGACAAGGGGGGUCCGACUGUUUAUUAAAAACACAGGUCCCUGCUAGGGCGUAAGCCUGCGAACAGGGGCCGACGCCUGCUCACUGCCGGUACGUGAAGCCCGGGUUCAACCGGGUUAAGCGCCGGUAAAGAGCGGGCCUAACCCUGAGGCUCUUAAGGUAGCGUAAUACCUCGCCGCUUAAUUGGCGGCUUGCAUGAAGGGCGUAACGAGGCCCCCGCUGUCCCUGCCCGGAACCCGGCGAACCCUUUGGGCCGUGAACAUACGGCCAACGCCCGACGGGAGGUGAAGACCCCGUGGAGCUUUACAGCAGCUUGGCGUUGCGGUCGAGGCCUCCUUGCGAAGCGUAGGCGGGAGGCGUCGAAGCGGCCCUUGCGGGGGCCGUGGAGCCGUCCAUGAGACACCGCCCCUGGAGGCUUCGACCGCUUACCGGGAACGCCCGGGACAGCGCCAGGUGGGCUGUUUGGCUGGGGCGGCACGCCCCCGAAAAGGUAUCGGGGGCGCCCAAAGGUCGGCUCAGGCGGGUCAGAACUCCGCCGUAGAGUGCAAGGGCAGAAGCCGGCUUGACGGUGUCCCGCACAAUAGGGGACGCCGAUGGGAAACCAGGGCCUAGCGAACCACCGGUUCCCACUGGUGGGGGCCGGUGCUGUCAGAGAAGUUACCCCGGGGGUAACAGAGUGGUCGCGGGCGAGAGCCCACAUCGACCCCGCGGUUUGCUGCUCCGAUGUCGGCUCGCGGUAUCCUGGCCGUGCACAAGCGGCCAAGGGUAGGGUUGUACACCCGUUAAAACCGCACGUGAGCUGGGUUGAGUACGGCGCGAGCCAGUAUGGCUACUAUCUGUCGGGCGUGUUGGCCGCCUGAGGGGAAGGACCGCCAAGUACGAAAGGAACGGCGGGACGCGGCCUCUGGUGUACCGGUUGUCCGACAGGGCAUCGCCGGGUAGCCACGCCGUAGGGGAUAACCGCUGAAGGCAUCUAAGCGGGAAGCCCCCCCCGAAUAAUAGGCGGCCGUUCCGGCCUUCCUCCGGGAGGGCCGGACGAGGGCUCCGGAAGAACACCGGGUUGAUAGACGCCGGGUGUAAGCGGGAAGGGCGACCGACCCGUUCAGCCCAGGCGUACUAAUCGCCCGAG
rnacentral:rRNA from 1 species